rnacentral:rRNA from 1 species
CCUACGGGUGGCGGCAGUGAGGAAUAUUGGUCAAUGGGCGAGAGUCUGAACCAGCCAAGUAGCGUGAAGGAUGACUGCCCUAUGGGUUGUAAACUUCUUUUAUAUAGGAAUAAAGUGAGGCACGUGUGCCUUUUUGUAUGUACUUUAUGAAUAAGGAUCGGCUAACUCCGUGCCAGCAGCCGCGGUAAUACGGAGGAUCCGAGCGUUAUCCGGAUUUAUUGGGUUUAAAGGGAGCGUGGAUGGGUUGUUAAGUCAGUUGUGAAAGUUUGCGGCUCAACCGUAAAAUUGCAAUUGAUACUGGCAGUCUUGAGUACAGUUGAGGUAGGCGGAAUUCGUGGUGUAGCGGUGAAAUGCUUAGAUAUCACGAAGAACCCCGAUUGCGAAGGCAGCUUACUAAACUGUGACUGACAUUGAUGCUCGAAAGUGUGGGUAUCAAACAGGAUUAGAUACCCCUGUAGUC